AAGUAAAAUUAUUGACUUGUAUGCGUUCUCACCUGUUGUAUCACAUCGCGGGCCUUUUAGUCUUGAACUAUAAUUCAGGUAGAGUAUCUUAUGCUGGAGGAAGCCAAAAAACUAUGACUACAGAUCAGUAGGAUCAAAACCAGAUCUUUUCUUUUGCUGUUCACUUAGGUAGUUAGGUAUUGAUCAAAUCUUAAUCUAAUAUGAUACUCUGUAGUGAGUUGUAAUUGUUUGAACAUCUCUGGCAUUUCCUGUGACAUUUCUGCCCAGGAAGUUGGUUCUUCCUGGGCUAACAAACUAAUUGACUCAUGAACUCAUCAUAGAGAUAGAAUUUACCAGGAGCUUAACUUCCAUUUCUAUAGUUACCUGACCUUUUAUUAUUUGACUUAUAAGAACAGAUACUACAUUUGAUCUUACCCUUUUUCCUUAUUGUCUGGCCAAAGUUUGCGAUAUUGAUAAACUGGAAUUUUCAUUUAGCUUUAGGUAAGUUUUGUCACCAAAAUUUGCAAAAUUUUAACUCUGGGAAACAUCUGGCCAAUCACCUAUUUGCAUAAGGGUUAACUGUUGUCGGAAGUUCUUUGAUCCUUUCUUUCCAAUUGUGCCAACAGAGCAUGAAUGAUAAUCACUUCCCAUAGGAUUCAGCCUUAUGUGCAUAAACCUUUGCACCAAUAACUACUUGUGUCCUAAAUCUUAAUACACUGCUGGAGUAACCAAAAGAUACUUAAACACUUUAAUGCCCACCACCAUAUGAUCGUAGAGCACAAUAUAAUCAUGAUGAUUUACCUACUCUUCAUAUUCUAAGUAUGCAGACACUUGUUGGAAAGUUUAUUUUCUGACCAAUCAGGUGAUAAGGUGUAUUAUCUUUUCUAACAUGGUGUUCUGGAAGAAGAAAAUCUGCUUCGUUGAACUUGGAAUCCCUAUACUACUGUCUCUGAUGAUGGAUUGCCUUUUCAAGAUUAGAACUAGGAUCUUUUCAUUUUAGGCUUUUUUCUCCAUUGAUUUAUUAUCCACAUCACUUAGGUCAAUGUAACUUCCCUUACCUACUCAUCAGGUCAAACAUCUCUUCUGGAAUAUGAAGAUGGAAGAAAAGGCAAAGGAGAAAGACCAACUUAUCACCUCAAUGCACACUUGUUGUGAGAUAAAAGAAAUGAAUAAUGUAUCUGAAAACCAAUGACAUGAUCUCAUGUAACUUGGACCAUAAAAAUAUAAAGAUGAGUAUGCCUUCAUGUCUUUGGCCAAGAAUUAUCUAACUAUGUUGAAAAUUUUUGUGAGGCAUCUUCUAGUUUCAUUGUUCUUUUUAGCUUUCAAAUCAUAUUACCUUCGAUUAUUUAUCCUUCAUUUUGUACAGAUAGAGAAACAAGAAUUUGGACUGAAGCCCAUGAACUGCCUAAGGUUGUAUGAUGUUUGCAUAUGGAGUUCAUUCAUAUAGAGACAAACUGAGAUUCCAGUGCCCUUCAAAACAUCAUUUGCGUCUAAGGUAUGCAUGCUUGCUAAAUUAGGUGCCCUGCCUUCCUUUUGAUCUCUGAAUCUAUCUUUUUAGGAGAAAUUUGCAUUUGAGCUGGAUUGGUGUGCAAAGGAGAUCAAGUUCACUGUGAUGAGGAAGAAAUGAACUCUGUUUACCAUUUUUUUUGUUUUUUAUUGGUGGAACAGUUACUUCUUAUUUAUUAUUGAAA